rnacentral:lncRNA from 1 species
CUUUCUUGAUUUUUGAAGAAAUCAAGAAUCCUUUCUUGAUCUUUCAACUAAUCAAGAAGAACAACAAUCAAGAAGUGGUUGUAACUAACUCUCAACAAACUUGAGAGCAAAGAAAACAAGAAUCAAAUAAGUGGCGCCAACUAAUUGACACCACCUCCUUGAUGCCGCCCACCCUCUUUAUGGCUUCAAGGGAGGACAUCUAAAGAGAGAAGAGGUAUGGGC